ACACACUCUUCAUCAUCACACAAGACUAAACUACAACUAUGAACAACAUCAUCAUCUUCAUCUGGACCAUUGCACUGUUUAUUCAAGAGUGUAGAGGACAGUUCACUGUAACUCAGAGUCCUGAAGUUAAAACUGUCCAACAGAGUCAAACAGCAACAAUAAAGUGUCAUAUAGAUGUAGGAAUAUACAGCGAUGGCUUAGCCUGGUAUCAGCAGAAACCUGGAGAAGCUCCUAAACUCAUGAUUAAUAACAUAAGAAGCCUUUAUACUGGAACUCCAUCUAAAUUCAGUGGCGGUGGAACUAACUAUGGCAGUGAUUUUACUCUGACCAUCAGUGGAGUCCAGACUGAAGAUACAGGAGAUUAUUACUGUCAGAGUGUACACUAUAUAAACAGUAAAUUUGUGUUCACACAGUGAUAAAGAGUCGUACAAAAACCUCUGUCAGUCAGACGUCACAGUGACUGCACUGAUACAGCUGAGAGAAACUGCAGCUGCUGAUGGAGGAUCACAAACUACACAA